rnacentral:rRNA from 1 species
UACGUAGGUGGCAAGCGUUGUCCGGAUUUACUGGGCGUAAAGAGCGCGCAGGCGGUUGGAUAAGUCGAAUGUGAAAGCCCCCGGCUCAACUGGGGAGGGUCAUUCGAUACUGUUCGACUCGAAGGCAGGAGAGGGAAGUGGAAUUCCCGGUGUAGUGGUGAAAUGCGUAGAUAUCGGGAGGAACACCAGUGGCGAAGGCGGCUUCCUGGCCUGUUCUUGACGCUGAGGCGCGAAAGCUAGGGGAGCAAACGGG